rnacentral:ncRNA from 20 species
CGCUCAUCGAUAACGCACUCAGCAAGAAACCACAGGUAGUGACGAUUGAGCCGACCGACAAGGCGUUCAAGACGCACGGCUGCCAACCCUGGCAGAACACGGGCAGCGAAGGCGCUGCCCCUGCCGGAGUUCCUGGACCUGAAGCGGGGGCCCAACUACAAAAUCAGCUCGGCAUCCUCAACGGCUUACUCGGACCGACUGGAGGGCGAGUG